UUUUUGUAUACCCCCUCGCGGGUUUUUUAUAAUCUGAGCCUUCUCGGCGCCUCUCGUAGGCGUUUCGAAAAUGAAUCAAAACUUUCAACAACGGAUCUCUUGGUUCUGGCAUCGAUGAAGAACGCAGCGAAAUGCGA
rnacentral:rRNA from 1 species